AAGACCAAAUUUUAAAAAUAAUAAUCUUUCCAAAAACUCCCCACCCACCAGCACUCCUCUGCCAAAUUUCAGUUUGAAGAAAAUGAAAAAAGACAAGUUUAUACACUGAUGAACGGGAGUUCAAAAUGGAACCUGAACAUCGUAAUUCUUGUAUCUUCUGGCAGGGCACCACAGUGGUGCUCACAGGAGCAGCCCUGGAGAUGAUCUGCACUUACUGGCUGUGAGGAGGCUGGUGGACAUCGGGACAUGCUCCCUGCAGACAGCCCUGUUCUACAUUUGCUCUUGUGGAAGGCAGCCCCUGCUACGGGCAGAGCAAGAGCAGCACAAAGCGCUGCCGAUGGUCCCUUCAGACAUCCUGAGGGAGGGCAAGAGAGUGGCCACAGCAUCAACGGGGAACUUUUCCAAACCUAGGAGCAGAGGCGUACUGGAAGGAGAAGAGCCUUAACAUGAGUGCCGCUUGAUGUUAUGGCCACUGGCUGUGUCCUCAAACCACAACCCAGAACAUUUCCAGUUCCAGAGCCUGGCCUCCUUCUACAAGGUCUCCAGAGCCAGGGCUGUGGUGGCCAGGGCUGUUCCUUGGUGGUGCCAAGCUGGUGAAAAGCCAUCACCCUGCCCUACAGACACCCUAGAGGUCGGCUGUGACCAUGGGGGACACGAGCCACGAAGUCACCCCAUCUCAGGGCCACCCAACACUGGUACUGUGGAGUCUGCCGGGGAUGACGGUCAGUCUCAGGGUCAGACACUCACCGAGGGUCCCUCACAAGCCCCGUUGACCACGGCCUUUGUCUUCAUC